AUGCUCAGUAGGUAAUGACAUGGCGGUGCCGGUUCUUAGCUGGUUGCUCCUACUCAGACACGUGCUGUGAACUUGGUGUUGUAAUUCCUCUUUUCUUGUUUGUUUGGGUUUGGGAUUCUUGGGACAACGCUCAGUGUCUGUCUUCUCUGUAUAAUCCUGGCAGUCUCGGACGCACCAAUGCUCCUGCAUGUCUCCCAAGUGCUGGCAUGACAGAGCGGUCGUCAUUCCUGAGAACUUUACAGAUAGGAAGGACUCAAAGGCUGAUCUUUUCGUCCGAACUGCCCAGAGCCCACUUCACUUUUCUUCUGUAUACAAAGGAUAUAAGUAAAAUACAGCCGAGCAUGCUGGCGUGCGUCCUUAAUCCCAGCACUCGGGAGGCAGAGGCGGAAGCAAGUUUGGAUUUACGGCCGGUUGCCUUACCAGUAAUACAUAUUGAGACUGUCUUAAAGAACAAAGAUACAGGUUAUUUGGAACAAAAGGGGGCCGCGGUUGGAUCCAGAAUCCCAGAUCUUAGAGUUUCAUGCCUCCUUUACAAGCCUUACGUUGCAUUGUUUGGGAAGAUGCACCCUCUUAGUUUUUCGUUUGCCCAUCUGUGUUUCUGAGAGGGUGCGAGUGCCACUGGGAGUCAGCACUUGUGGAAAUUGGUUUUCUGCUUCCACAUCAAAGGUCCUUGGGACUAAACUUGGGUUAUCAGAUCUGGCAGCAGGCGCCCUUACCCACUGAGCCAUGUCACUGGCCCGAACUAUAAUUGUUAAAGACAU
rnacentral:lncRNA from 1 species